rnacentral:rRNA from 1 species
GAUCAUGGCUCAGGAUGAACGCUAGCGACAGGCUUAACACAUGCAAGUCGAGGGGCAGCGGGGAGUAGCAAUACUCUGCCGGCGACCGGCGCACGGGUGAGUAACGCGUAUGCAACUUACCUAUCAGAGGAGAAUAGCUCAUCGAAAGAUGAAUUAAUGCUCCAUAAAACAGGGGUCCCGCAUGGGAAUAUUUGUUAAAAGAUUCAUCGCUGAUAGAUAGGC